rnacentral:rRNA from 1 species
GAUCAGCCGGUACUCCGAAUCUCUAGAUUAGAGUUGAUCCUGGCUCAGAUUGAACGCUGGCGGCAAGGCCUAACACAUGCAAGUCGAACGGUAGCACAGAGAGCUUGCUCUCGGGUGACGAGUGACGGACGGGUGAGUAAUGUCUGGGAAACUGCCUGAUGGAGGGGGAUAACUACUGGAAACGGUAGCUAAUACCGCAUAACGUCGCAAGACCAAAGAGGGGGACCUUCGGGCCUCUUGCCAUCAGAUGUGCCCAGAUGGGAUUAGCUAGUAGUGGGGUAACGGCUCACCUAGGCGACGAUCCCUAGCUGGUCUGAGAGGAUGACCAGCCACACUGGAACUGAGACACGGUCCAGACUCCUACGGGAGGCAGCAGUGGGGAAUAUUGCACAAUGGGCGCAAGCCUGAUGCAGCCAUGCCGCGUGUAUGAAGAAGGCCUUCGGGUUGUAAAGUACUUUCAGCGGGGAGGAAGGUGUUGUGGUUAAUAACCACAGCAAUUGACGUUACCCGCAGAAGAAGCACCGGCUAACUCCGUGCCAGCAGCCGCGGUAAUACGGAGGGUGCAAGCGUUAAUCGGAAUUACUGGGCGUAAAGCGCACGCAGGCGGUCUGUCAAGUUGGGAUGUGAAAUCCCCGCGGCGUCAAACUGUGAAANUGGUUUGCGAAACUGGGAGGUAAAGUCUUGUAGAAGGGGGUAGAAAUCCACGUGUAGCGGUGAAAANGCGUUGAGAUCUGGAGGAAAACCCGGNNGGGAAAGGGGCCCCUUAAAAAUAAGCCCGUGUGAGAAAGCGUGG